AGCUUUAUGAGAUAAAUAUAUAAAGUGAAAUCUGCCCACUGAAAAUUUUAAAUGGCCGCAGUACUUUGACUGUGCUAAGGUAGCAUAAUAAAUUGACUUUUAAUUGAGGUCUAGAAUGAAAGGAACCAUGGAUAAUUGCUGUCUUGUUUUAACUAAUAAAAAUUUACUUAAAAGGUGAAAAUUCCUUAAAAAUAAUAUAAUAGACGAGAAGACCCUAGGAGUUUUAAAAAUUUUGUUGGGGCGACAUUAUAGCAACAUAAUUUGUUUAAACCUAUAAUUUUAAAUAAGAUUAUAUAACGAAAAGUGUUAAUUAAAAAUAAACUACCCUAGGGAUAACAGCAUAAUUUUAAUUUAGGUUUAUGACCUCGAUGUUGGACUAGGGACAUUUAAAAUUAACAGUGUUAAAUGAUAGUUCUGUUCGAACAUUUUACCCU
rnacentral:rRNA from 1 species